rfam:Vitis vinifera, whole genome shotgun sequence of line PN40024, unoriented chromosome 10, chr10
GGAUGAAUUGCUGGGCAAUACUCCAUUGGCAGUUGGCCACUCGGCUGACCGCGGUUGACUUCACAAGUAGCAGACUAAGCUCACUGCCAAAGGAGAUUUGCCCCUCAAUUCAGCU